rnacentral:rRNA from 1 species
GACGAACCGUGCGAGCGUUGUUCGGAAUCACUGGGCAUAAAGGGCGCGUAGGCGGCUUUUCAAGUCAGGGGUGAAAUCCGGCAGCUCAACUGUCGAAGUGCCCUUGAUACCGAUGAGCUCGAGGGAGGUAGGGGUGUGUGGAACUUCCGGUGGAGCGGUGAAAUGCGUUGAUAUCGGAAGGAACGCCGGUGGCGAAAGCGACGCACUGGACCUCUUCUGACGCUGAGGCGCGAAAGCUAGGGGAGCAAACGGG